AUCAUUCUAACUAGGAAAAUUAGAAGAAGCUAAAACAGAGGCAGCAAGUAGAAGACCCGUGAUCGUGUAAUUCGCCUCGUGCUGAAAGAAAGAAAAAAAAACCAAGCAUUUCUGCGUGUUAUGUGUUAUUGUUGUGAUCAGUGAUCUGUGGAUCAGUGGAACGAACCAAGUGAAAGUGAACACAAGAACGAAGAGAAAGCAAAGUGAAACAACUUGAGUCCUACCAGAAAGGGAAUACAAAUCAGAGAUAAUGUCGGACAUUGAGGAUGUUUUCGGUGGCUCCGCCGAGGAGACCAAGCCCGAACCCGAUGCCGAAAGCAAAACCAGCGUGGUCACCGAACAUACCGAGGAAAUAAUCCCCGGAGAGACCGAGAAAAUGGUCACGGAGACCAUCGACGAGGACGGCGAUGUCGUGGAGGAAACCACCGAAGUUACCCGCAAAACGGUGAAGCGCACCAUGAAGAUCACUGAGACUUCAGCCACCACAAAGACAACCACGCUCACCACCCCGGCCAAACUGUAUGGCAAGGAUCUGAGUGAGUACGACGAUGUGGACGUGGAGAGCCUGCUGGCCCAGCUCUCGCCCGAGGAGAUAACCAUACUGGCCAAAGAAGUGGAUCCCGAUGACAACUUCCUGCCGCCAGACCAGCGCAACAGCUACGAGUGCACCAAGGAAGCCACCGGCCCCCUCAAUCGCAAGCAGCUGAUCGAGCACAUCAACAAGCAGGCGAUCGAGACGCCCGAUCAGCCGGAGUUCGAGCCCUUCGUCCAGGGCAAGGUUCGCGGCAAGAAGUGGGUGCCUCCUCCAAGGGACGCCCGCGAAAUCGAGGCCGAGGAACAGAUCGCCAUCGACAUGGGCGAGGAGUACGAGCACGCCCUCAACGAUGCCACGCAGGAGGAGAUCAUCGACUUGGCCGCCAUCCUGGGCUUCCACUCGAUGAUGAACCAGGAUCAGUACCACGCCUCCUUGCUCAACAAGGGCCAGCCCGUGGGUCUGGGCUGGGACGGCAUCACAAAGUCCACCCAGCAGAAGCUCUUCCCCAUGGAUCCGCCUAACAGCACAGACGUGGAGGAGUCCAUCAAGCGGGUCAAGGACGACGACUCCAAGCUGAUUGACCUCAACUUGAACAACAUUAAGAACAUCUCGGACGAGAAGCUCGAGCAACUGUUUGCCGCACUGCCUCAGAACGAACAUCUAGAAGUCCUCUCGCUGACAAACGUCGGCCUCACCGACAAGACAGCCCUGCUUUUGGCCGAGGCCAUCGAGAAGAGCAAAACCCUGAGAGUAUUAAACGUCGAGACCAACUUCAUCAGUCCGCCCGUGAUCGUUAAGCUGGUGCAAGCCCUGCUCAAGUGCCACACCAUCGAGGAGUUCAGGGCCUCCAAUCAGCGAUCUGCGGUGCUGGGCAACAAGAUCGAGAUGGAGAUCACCGACCUGGUGGAGAAGAACCCGUCCUUGCUGCGCCUCGGCUUGCACCUGGAGUUCAACGACGCCCGCCACCGAGUGGCCGCUCACCUGCAGCGCAACAUCGACAGAAUAAGAAAAGAUCUUGAGUUGCGACUGCAGUUCAGAUUUUUCAAUAAUCUGCAUAGAAAGUCGACAAGAAUUCAAUAAGCAGACCAGAAAGCAAGCAACUAAACCAUUUUUAAAGCGUUUUGUAAUCUAAACCCAAACCGAAGAAAAACAGAAGCACAUAACAACGAAAGAACGUGUAUAAUAUAAUAUAUAAUGAGAAGGAAGCAGGAGCAGAAGUUUAAGCUAAAGAUAACGCAGCCGCGGAGCUCGCAAAAAAAAUCUAUAUCUAUAUACUCUAGAGACUUUAACUAAGCAAAGCAAACUGAAACCAAAGAAACGAAGUGAAUAUCAAACCAAUACAUAAACCAUAUAUAUCGCUAAAGCGCAGAUCGAACAGGCUCAUGACUCUUGGGUGAAAGCAACACCCCGGCAACAUGAGUUGUGUUCGAAGUCGAGUCCUCUUCUAUAACCCAGCCGAAAUCGUUUAGGCGUCACGUGUAUAAUUUUGUCUAACGCUUAACACAGUACGUGUGAAACGCCUGAACCAGCGUAAAUAAAAAGACAAAUUACGAAAUAUGUAGCAGCAACCAACCAACAACAACACGCCACCACCCAAGAACAACAACCAAGCAGAAAGCCAUCUAUGUGUGUGUGUUUUUGUCCAACUCUUGAUUUGAUUUAACUACCAAUUAACAAGUAAACCCAGCAAGAAAACCACCAAACCAAGAACACCACCAGCAAACAAGAACAACAACAACAACAACAUGAGCAACCACGGCAACAAGAACAACAGAUCUAUGUUUAUCCAAAACUCCCCCAACAACCGACCUCUGUACCCCCGAAACCAAUCCAUCAAAAAGAAUCCAACCAACCAGCUGUGAACUAACACCGAAGAAUGAUGUGUGACAUGAAUUGGACGUCAGCGUCGCAUGGGACAUCUGAGCAGGAACUACACCAUUGGCGUUUGGCAGUAGGAUUCACCAAUAUCGGAUAUUGGAGUCAAUACUUUACACCGAAAAAAUGCAAUAGCCUAAACAUCUGGUUGUCAUACUUGUUGUUAUAUUGUUCUGUUUAGUGUUUGUUGCGUUCUCAGAUUAACGAUUUCGGUUCUACAUAGUUUGUGUUCGGUUCACCAUAUAAGCAUAAUCAUUUGUUUGUUACGAGUUAGGCGAAUGUUCAUUGUCACACACACGGAUCAACUUUCUAUCUGGCAGCUCCAAAACCUUUUUCCUUAAGCAAAAUCUUCACAUUUACGCUGCAGCUAUACACGCGUUUUUAUUUUAUUUACCUUCCAAUCUGUCCUUUGUUUUAUGGCCCCUAGACGGGGAAAUGUUUCACAAUUUUUAGUUUUAGUCGUGUUUAUAUCCACACAUGCACACACAUGAUACAAACACAUACACAUAACAUACAUAAUACUUAUACACACUAUAUAUAUAUGAUACAUAUAUAGCCAUGGUCUCUGAAACAAUUUACUGCUAUUGAAUUAUGAAAAUGCUUAAACAUAAAUUUAACUUAUGGUUAAACACACAAAUGAAAAAAAAACAAUCAAUUGUAUAAUGUAAUGAUAUAUCUUACUUUAUAUGACAUAAUGCAAUGCUUUUAAAAUACAAUUUUUAAAAAUCAUGUAAAAACAUUUAAAAUUAAAUAAAAAAAAUACAAAAAUA